rnacentral:rRNA from 1 species
CCCAUUUGACCCGUCUUGAAACACGGACCAAGGAGUUUAAGGUGUACGCGAGUCAUUGGGUUCGCGAAACUCAAAGGCGCAAUGAAAGUGAGACCCUCGGGGUCGGGGAUGUGAGCGGCGAGCGUUUCGACGUUCCUCGUGCAACAUCGCCCCGUGAUUCGGACUCGUCCCGUUGCGGAGGCCGAGCGUACGCUUUGAGACCCGAAAGAUGGUGAACUAUGCCCGAACAGGAUGAAGCCAGAGGAAACUCUGGUGGAAGUCCGAAGCGGUUCUGACGUGCAAAUCGAUCGU